UUACCUAGUAGUGCAACUGCUGAGUCUCAGGGUAAUUCUGUUUUUAAUUUUUUGAUCAACGUUAUUUUAAUUGCAGAGAUGUGAAGUGCCCCGUCCUAUCUGAGUUAGGAAGCUGAGACUCUCUACUCUGGACCGGCCCCACAAUCAGAACAGUUGGUGGACAAUGUGCAAGUUCAUCAGUGUUUGGAAAUUCAGGGACAUGAAUUCUCAGCACCCACAGAAGUGUCCACUGAAUACCAGCUGGUAGGGUCCCAUCAGAAAUGCCUUUGAUAUAAUUUCUAUUUCUGUGCAGAUUUGGAACUCAACCACACCUGUGUGGUUUCUCAGAGAAGGACACAAAUGGGUGGCGCCACUGUGGACACCCUGGGUCAUCCCGGGGAUGGAACAAGGGACUCAGGGGGAUCAGGUGAAUCCCAGGUGUUGGCAGGGCUUUUGCAGCCCUGCAUGAAGGUAGGAUCUCCAUAAAGGCUCUGACCUCUCUCACUGGCCCAGGCCACUGGUAUUAAACACAACAAAGCCCCGGUGUUUAAAUGUUCUGCAUAUUUUCCUUAUGCCAAAACUUACUCAGCUCCAGUACAAGUUGGGAGUGAGGCUGUAAGCAUGGGGAAAGAAAAGUCGAACACAGAACAUUCUGCCUACCCAUCACCUUUGAUCGUCAGGAAAGGGGCUCUACUUUUCUCUGUGAAAUGCACCUGAUAAUAUUCUUCUCUCCAUUCCACUUUUUGCACCACAUUCAAAGUCAUGUUCCGAAAAUUCUCAUUUACUUAAAACCCUAUAAUGGUCCCUAUAAUUCACUGAAUUGUGUUUCCUCAAAAUUAGGGGUUGGAACCCCCAACGUGACUGUAUUUGGAGAUGGAGCCUUUAAGGGGGGAACUGAGUUAGAAAGAGGUCAGGGGGGUGGGGCCAAAUCUGGUAGGACCACUGCCCUUAUAAGAUCAGGAAGAAGCACCAGGCAGUAAGCGUGCCUGGAGAAGAGGCCCCGUGGGGACCAGGGAGGAGGCGGCUCUCGGGAAGCCCAGGAGGUCUUCCUUGAUUUACAAUGGGGUUACGUCCUGGUAAAUCCACGGUAAGCUGAAAAUACGGGUUCUAAGGGAUGGAACAUCAAGAAAUGGUUUGAAAUGGCGAAUAUGAAGGUCGACGAGAAGCCCCUUUAAUCUUCAACAAACAACACAUGAAGUCGUUUAAAAGUGUUUACAUUGUCUACCUCCCCAGAGGACUGACUGGUACGAAAAGUAGAAGGGAAAUAAUUGAUGAGCUAUUGGAAAACAUUUAUCACAAAGGUGAGAAUUUUUGUCUGUAUAAUAAUCCAAAUUAGUCAAACCUGAACUAGAAUUUCCUCACUUGUAACAUGAACUUAGCAACACUGAUUCUUAAAUAUUACAUGAAUGAUGUAUAUAGAUGCUCUUAAAAUUUAGACACGAGGAUAACUAUUAAGCAGCUAUGUUAUACAAGUUAAAAUAUUACUGUCAGUGCUAUGACAAAGAGAAGCUGCCAAUAGUGAGGGGGGUCUGCUACUUUGGGUGUUCUCAGGUACUGAGAACUUGAUGCAAGAAUUUGAAUAUAGGUGGUUUGUUAAGUAAUUUCAGGCAGAUUUGAGUGAACAAGGGGGUUGAGACAGAGGAAUAAAAUAUGGUUUAAGAAUGUUUCAUAGUUCACAGUAUAUGGCCACAUCACAUUAGAAUUUCUGAGAAGUGUACAAAGCGACCACCAGAAUUGGGCUCUCAACAGAUGGACCCUGACGAACUUAUUUCUCCACUGGCUUCCAUCCUCCAUUGGUUGAGGAUUCCCUGGGAGGAAAACCUCCCUCACUCACCCCGCUUCCAGGCUAUACCUCUGCAAAAGGCUGGUGAGCCCCAAGGACUAUGUUAGGAUGUACAAAGAAUCAUUUGGAGCAGCUGCAGGUGAAUGUUGGUGGCUUUGAGCUCACAUGGAACUGCCCACCACAGUUGCCAGGGUCCUGGCGGAUUCCGGUGGGCAUUAGAGACAUCUGUCAUACUAAAGAUAGAACUGAGUUGCUGAAAAGGAAGCUAUUUCAAUGCUAAUCAUCAUUGUAAUGGUCAUGAGACACCUUAUAUUGACUUAUACAUAGACUUAAGGAAAAGGGAUAAACUCUAAAAGGUGCCUUGAGGGCACCAAAAACACUAACUAUAAUGUUACUCAUCACACAAUGGAAGAAUUAAGUUGACAAAUGUAUUUAUAGCUUGAUAUUUAAACAACAUUUAUAAAAAAGAAUUCCCAAUAUUAUGGUUUCCAUUUAGAAAAGCCAUCUGGCUUUAGCUAGUUGGCAUAACGGCUAAUAACUCCGGCAAAGAGCAGAGAACUCUCCAAUGGAGUUCCCAGCUGCCCGAGGGUCAGCUUAAGAGGCAGAGUGUGCAGCUCUCUAUGGUGAAGGCGUUAGUGAGUUGGCCGCUAAUGUACAAACGUGGCAUGUGCCUUUAGUUGUCUCUCCGUCCACCACCGUCAGUUUUCUCAGCAGGACAGAGUUUCAGUACAAGCAUUCCACUUGCCUGUAGCAACACUGCAUGAAAUAUUGAACCGCCAUUAGGUUGUGACUCUGCAGGGAAACGUUUGAUCUUUUUUUUUGUCAUGGUUAAAGAGUUAAUGUGUCACAACUACUUUAAUAAUGCAUUAUUGAGCGGUCCAUAAAAUAUGUAAUUAACAUUUUCAAUAUUUUAAUUUUUUUUAACAAACAGUACAGAGUAUGAAUAAAUUCUUAAGGGAUAAUAGACUUUAAAUGAAAAUUAAUCUUUGUAAAGGACUAUUCUAUUGAGUGUAUUAACAUUUUUUUUCUUAAAAUACUUUGGAACACAAUCAUGGCAGGAGCAUAAUUCAUUUGGCCACAGUUUUGACCUAGAGUAAGUGAGGAUAUUGUUUAAAAGCAUCUCUCUAGGAAAAAGGGGAUGUCUGGAAGUUGGUUGUCUUAAGAAGACAGAAGUGUUUGACGCUGAAACCCUGAAAGAAGAACUUGGUAUGUAAUUGGUGGGGAAUUGACACAGUUCUAAAGUGCACUAAGACUGCACUGACUUUUCUCUCUGUCCUUGCUUGGUCUUUGAGACUGGCCUGUUUCCUUCCAAAGUACUGCAGCCAAGAGUCAUGCCAGAGCAAGGAUGUAAUACGGAUUUGCUGAUGGCAACUUAAAUUCUGUUCUUUACAGAGGCACAGAAAGCCGCACUUUUCUCCACUUACAGGAUUUCAAUCACUUGUACACAAAUGGCUGGACUUGAAAUGUAUGAUCAAACACAUGAAUAAUCAUACAGAGCCCCAAGUGCUAAGCACCCAACUCUCUGUGCUGAAAGAUCUUUAUGCCAGCUUUCUGGGGAGGCUCACUAGGGGGAGUCGGCUUUGGGAAGAGAAACCAAACACUUGUGCAAUAGCGCCACCUUAUGGAGAACAAAAGAAUGAUUCUAAUAGUUCAAUAGACUGGUAUGCACAGUUGACUCUUGAACUGUGUGCAUGAACUAAAUGUAGGUUUUUUUUUUUUUAUGGAUGCAGUACAGUAAGUGUAUUUUCUCAACAUUUUCUUUUCUCUAGCUUACUUUAAGACAUAUAAUGACAUAACAUAUAAAAUGAAUUCAUUGUUUAAGUAGUUGGUAAGAUUUCCCCUGUCAAUAGUAGGCUAUUAAGUUUUGAAGCAGACUUUAAUGUUAUACAUAAAUUUUGAUUGUACAGGUCAGCAUCUCAACCCCCUGCUUUAGUCAAGAGUCAGCUGUAGAAUUCUAAGUAAAUGAAACCUUGUCUCAGGGGAAAAAAUUUGCUACUUCAAAGGUAGCAACAGUGGUCUAUCUCCUCAAAUGCUAUGACAACACAUGUCAGUAUGGUAUCACAAAGAGAAAAUGAUUUCUCCAGCAACCAAACUCAUAAAAAUGGAAUAUUGUGAUACAACUUGUAAAGAAUUCAAAAUAGCUCUUUAUGAAGAAAUUUCAGAAAGUCAAUUCAAUGAAUUCAUGAAUAAAAUUAAAUUCUGGAGCUGAAGAACUCAAAAAUAAUAUGAACAAUGAAUUAGAAAGCACUGAAAACAAGGUGGAUCAAAUGGAAGAGAGAAUACACAAUCUGGAAGACAGGAAUAUGGAAAUGGUCCAGGUGAUAGAGGAGAAAAAAGACAAAGAAUUUUUUUUAAUUGAAGAAACCCUAUAACAUUUAUCAAACUGACUUAACAGGUAAACCAGAAGGAGGAGAAAGAGAGAAAGGAGCAGACUGUAUUUAAAGAUAUAUUGCAUUAUUUUGGUGCCAAAAAAAAAGUAUAAUGAAACUGACAAAGGUCAAUGGUGAAGAAAGAAUUUUAAAGGCAACCAGGUGGGCAGGUGGGGGGAAGUAACCUACAGUGAUUUCUCAGGGAAUGGAACUGAUGGAAAACACCAUUUGCCUUCACCUCCUUCAGCCUGUCUGAUGUUGAAGGGAAGCAGUUCUAACACUAUCUACCUACUUCACCUGCCCCAGCUAGUGCCUCUCUGAAGUGGCUCUAGCCCCACCACACACAGUGGGCAGCGUCCGUUGGGACAAAUGUCCCUAGAAGGUGGCUGCCAUGCUCAGCACUGUCACCACACCAAAGGAAGCCUUGAACCAGGACACAGGGCCAGCCCAGCCCAUCAGCAUGCCUGCAGCAGUCCAGGGACAACAGCUCACACAGGGGCUACUCUGGAGCAUAUGGUUCUGAGGAGCAGCAGGGAUUGCACUACUGGGCCCCACAGGACACCUUGUACAUAAGGACACUACUUUCAAGACCGAGAGACCUAGCUGACCUGCCUAAUACAUAGAAACAAAUACAGAAAGACAAAAUGAAGAAUCAGAGGAAUAUGCUCCAACCGAAAGAACAGGACAAAAUUAGAGCUAAAUGAAAAGCGAUCUACCUAAGACUUCAAUAUAAUGCUCAUUCAUGAGAGAACUUCAAUAAGCAGACAGGAAAUACUUAAGAAUACAGUAACUAAAAUUAAAAAUCCACUAGAGGGAUUUAAGAGUAGAUUGGUGGAUGCAGAGGAACGGAUCAAAAUCCGGAAGGCAAGGGUAGUAGAAACUCAUCCAAGCUGAACUGCAAAAACACAGAAUUUUAAAAAAUGAAGCUAGAUUAAUGGACCUCUGAGACCAACAUCAAGCAUAUUAACACUCUCAUUAGAGGAGAGUAUUCUCCCCUGAGAGAGCAGACAGAAAGGGACAACUUCCCUAACCUAGUGGGAAAAAAGAGGUUCUGAGAAGCACACAGAGUCCCAAAAAGGAUAAACCCAAGGGAAUUCACACCAAGACAGAGUAAAUACAAUGUCAAAAAUUAAAAAGAAUCUUAAAAGCCAGGAAAAAGCAAUUAGUUAUAUAAAAAAACAAACAAACUUGACAGCCAAGUAGUGGCAUAGUAUUUGCUGAAACAAAAAGACACCAUCCUAUACCCAAAAAUACUGACCCCAUCAAGGAUAUUAUUCAGAAUUGAAGGAGAGUUUCCAAGACAAAAGUUAAAGAAUCUCAUCAGCACUAAGCUGGCCUUGUAAGAAAUGUUAAAAAGACUUCUCUUGUAGUCAUAACCUUUUCUAUUUAAAGAAUUAUUAAAGGAAAAAAAGUACACGGUAAGAGCAAACAGAGUAAAACAAGUAUGAAGGUUAAAAGACCAAUGAAAAGUACAGUUCAUCUACAAAAGAUACACAAAACUAAAAAUGUAAAAUAUGACAUAUGCAAAUGAGGGGUAAAAAUCCAGUGCUUUGUGUCUGAAAUUAGGCAACCAUGAACUUACUAUUGACUGCUAUAGGUAUAGCACGUUCUAGAUGAAACUCACAGUAACCACAAAUCAAAAAACUUGUAAUGCAUAAAGAACCAGAAAACAGUGAAGCACAUACCAAUUACCUAAAAUGCAAACGGUAUGAGGUUCUAAUCAAAAGAUAGGUGACUGGAUGAAUAAAAUAGCAAGCCUCAUCUAUAGAGUGCCUGUAGGAGACUACUUCCGACAUCAAGACACAGACUGAAGGGAGGAAAAGAGAAGUUUCAUGUAAACGAAAGAGGAAAAACUGGGGUAGCAAUCCUUAUUUCAGACAAAAUAGACAUUAAAACGGACUGUCACAAGAGACAAAAAAAAAACCACUACAUAAUGAUAAAGGGAUCAAUCCAACAAGAGGAUGUACUGAUUGCAAAUAUUUAUGCACCCAGCAUAGGGUUACCUAGAUUUAUAAAGCCAAUAUUAAAAAAGAGAAAUUGAAGGCAGUACAAUGAUAGUAUGGAACUUUACCACCCCACUUACAUUAAUAAAAUGGAUCAUCCAGACCAAGAAUCAAUAAAGAAUCCAUGGCUUUGAAUGACACAUUAGACCAAAUAUAUACAGAACAUUCUUUUCAAGUAUGCAUGGAACAUUUUCCAGAACAGAAAACAUGUUAUACCUAAAAUAAGUCUCAAUAAGUUUAAGAAGAUUGGAAUAACAACAAGCAUCUUAUUCAACAUAGUGGUAGAACAAGAAUGUACAGAAUUGGAAAAAAAAAAAAAUAUGGAGGCUAAACAACCAAAGAGGAAAUAAAACAAAUACAUGGACCAAAUGAAAACAAACAUUAUGGUUCAAAUCUUCAGGAUAUACCAGGAGCGGUUCUCAGAGAAAAGUUUAUAGUGCUAUAAGCCUACCUCAAUAAACAAGAAAAAUUGCAAUCUUUACACCUAAGGGAGGAAAAAAGUCCAAUGUUAGAAGAAAUACGAUAAUGAAGAUCACAGUGGGGAAAAAUGAAGGAGCUCAAAAAAAAAAAAAAAAAACAAAAGAUCAGUGGAACUAAGAACUGGCUUUGGAAAAGGUAAGCAAGCCUUUAGCCAGAUUCGCAAGGAAGAGAGGGUAGGACUCAAAAUCAUAAAUGAAAGGGGAUACAUGACAGUUGACACCUCAGAAAUACAGAGCAUCAUAAGAAAUUAUGUAAAAUGUGCCAACAAACUGAACAACCAUUCUCGGAAACAUACAAUCUUCCAAUAAUGGAUCCCAGAGAAAUAGAAAAUUUGUACAAAUUCCAACAAUGUUCACAACAGACGGCCUCACUGGCGAAUUUCAUUAAACUCUUAAAGAAGAGUUAAAGCCUAGCCUCAAACUGUGCAACACACACACAAAGAUUUACAGGUCAAUAUUCCUGAUAAACAUAGAUUUAAACAUCCUCAACAAAAAUACAUUAAAAGGAUCAUUCCACAAUGAUUAAUGAGGGAUUUAAUCCAGGGAUACGAGGGUGAUUGAGUAUUUACAAAUCAAAUUGAUGUACCAAAUUAAAAAUGGGAAAAAUCACAUGAUUAUCUUAAUGCAGAAAAAGCAUUUCCCAAAGCCCAACAUCUGUUUAAAAUUCUCUGAAGAUAGAGGAAAUAUAGAAUCAACACCACAUAUGACAGUCUCAGGCUAAAAACAUGCUCCAGGCAUACCAGGAACAAUGCAAGGAUGUCCAUUCUCACCAUUUGUAUUCAACAUGGUAGCAGGAGCCCUCCCCAGAGCAGAGACAAUAAAAAUAAAUAAAACUAUUGAAAUUGGUAAGGAAGAAGUAAAAUUUUCACAACUGAAAGAAAACCCUAAAGACUCCACACACACAAAGCUAAUAAAAUUAAUGAGUUCUUCAGAACUCAGAAAUCUGUUGCUUUGUUAUACGUCUUUAAUUCCAGUAUAGUUAACAGUGUAAUAUUAGUUUCAACCGUACCAAAUAAUGAUUCAGCACUUCUAUACAACACCCUGUGCUCAGCACCACCAGUGUAUUCCUAAAUCCUCAUUAUCAAUAACCCACCUCCACCCUCACUUCCCUUUGGGAACCAACCGUGUGUUCUCUACAAUGAAGAAUCU